GAAAGAAGAAAGUUAGGGAAAAAAUCUGAUUUGAAUUUGUAGAAUAAUAAUAAUAAUAAUAAUAAUAAUAAGAAUGUGAGGGGUGGUGUUUGUGUGAGUUGGUGGCGUAAGCAGGGGAAGCGGUUGAAGAAAGAAAUGGGGAUUUUGACCUGGUUGUUGUUGGCCAUUGUUCACUCACUCUAAUUGUAAUAUGCAAUAAUAUUAUCGAGAAGAGAAGAGAAGAGAAGAGAACGCAUAUCUUGAUGAAGAGCUCUCUGAAAAAGUUGCGAGGUCUGGCGCUUCACAAUCACAAUCACAAGCAUGCCUCCUCCAAGUCUAUUCAGCCUCUGGACCAGCUUGACGAGCUGGCUCAGGCCACAGAGGACAUGCAAGACAUGAGGGACUGCUACGACACCUUGCUUUCCGCCGCCGCAGCAACCGCCAGCAGUGCUUAUGAAUUCUCCGAGUCCUUGCGAGACAUGGGCUCAUGUCUUCUUGAGAAGACCGCCUUGAAUGAUCAAGGAGAAGAAACCGGAAAAGUUCUCCUCAUGCUUGGCAAAAUCCAGUUCAAACUUCAGAAACUCAUCGAUAACUAUCGUUCUCAUAUAUUCCAGACUAUUACCAUUCCCUCAGAGUCUCUCUUGAAUGAACUUCGAAUUGUCGAGGAGAUGAAGCGACAAUGUGAUGAAAAGAGAAAUGUAUACGAGUAUAUGGCAACAAGAUAUAGAGAAAGAGGUAGGUCUAAAGGUGGAAAAGGGGAAACAUUUUCGUUGCAGCAAUUGCAAACUGCUCGUGAUGAAUAUGAUGAGGAGGCUACAUUGUUUGUUUUCCGAUUGAAAUCUCUGAAGCAAGGACAAUCGCGUAGUCUUUUAACACAGGCAGCACGUCACCAUGCUGCUCAGUUAUGUUUCUUCAAGAAAGCAGUCAAGUCUCUUGAGACAGUUGAACCACAUGUAAAAUCAGUAAGUGAACAGCAACACAUUGAUUACCACUUCAGUGGUCUUGAAGAGGAGGAUGGUGAUGAAGGUGACUAUGGAGAUGAUGAUGAUGUUGGUUAUGAUGAGAAUGAUGAUGGGGAGCUGAGUUUUGACUACGGAGAAAUGGAGCAAGACCAAGAUGCUUCUACAUCACGGAACUCAAUGGAGCUGGACCAGGUGGAACUUACCCUUCCUAGAGGUUCUACAGCUGAAGCUGCUAAGGAAAACUUAGAUAAGCUUCAAAGAAAUUUGUUUUCCUUUAGGGUUAGGACAGUAAGCCAAUCUGCCCCACUUUUUGCUGAUAAUAAACCUGAUUCAAGCGAAAAACUGAGACAGAUGCGCCCAUCUUUAUCACGGAAGUUCAGUUCUUAUGUGCUACCUACGCCAGUUGAUGCAAAGAGUUCAACCUCUUCAGGGUCUAAUAAUCCAAAGCUUUCCAAAAUGCAGACAAAUUUAAAUGAACCUACGAAGAAUUUGAGACAUUCAUCCCCUUUGGAACAAAAGAAACAUGAAAAAGACAUUGGAGAUGAGUUUUCUGGUCCAACUGUCAGAAGUGCACAGUCUGUUCUCAAGGAAAGUAACAAAACUACUACCUCCACGAGAUUGCCACCUCCUUUGGUAGAUAGUCUUUUAUCCGCAAAUCGUGAUUAUGUAUCUGCUUACUCUAAAAAGAUUAAAAGACAUGCCUUUUCUGGUCCAUUGACAAGUAAUCCUUGGCCUAGCAAGCCUGUUUCGGCAGAAAGUGUUCAACUGUUCUCUGGACCUCUUUUGCCAACUCCAAUCCCUCAGCCUCCAUCAUCAUCUCCGAAAGUAUCUCCUAGUGCAUCUCCUACUCUCAUGUCUUCACCUAAAAUAAGUGAGCUACAUGAACUUCCGAGGCCUCCAACCAGUUUCCCAUCCAAUUCAAGGCUUUUAGGUUUGGUGGGUCAUUCAGGUCCAUUGGUGUCUAGAGGUCCCAAGGUUUCUGCUGCAAAUAAUUUGGUUGCACCAAGUGCAGCAUCUCCACUACCAAUUCCACCUCAAGGGAUGGCUCGCAGUUUCUCCAUACCUUCUAGUGGUGCUAGAGUUGCAGCAUUACAUGGGUCAAGAACAUUAGAAUCAUCUCAUAGAUCAUCUAUAUCUGAAGAUAUCACUUCGCCUCCUCUGACACCAAUUGCAUUAUCUAGUAGUCGGCCAUCAUCAGAUGGCUGAGACUGUUCUUGAUGUUUAGACCAGCAGCUAGAUUACAUAAAAUGUUCUCCGGUGGCGAGUCCCACCAUAUGAACUGAUCAACAUGAAUAACUUCAGAGGCUAGAAUAUGAGCUAUACCAUUGGCAUUUCUCCUAGUGAUGGAAAAACACGGAAGAAAACUGGGUAGCUAUCUGUAUACAAUCCUGAAUGAUAGGUUAGGGAACAACACUUCAUUUACCCCCCUUGCACAGCUGUAAAAGUGACAGAAGAAUCAGCUUAUGUUUCAAUGUUUUCCAUAGGCUUGGUAACAUAACAUGUCCAACAGGUGGGGCUUCUGUUUUUAAUUGGCGGGUUACAUAAUCUAGGACAUGAUAGGAAUGUACAUGUUUUUACCAAUAUUAAGCAAUGAACCCGGAUAUGGUCAAUGGACUUGUGCAGAUUAAUUCCACUUACGUCUGAAGUUAGCCUGUUUACGACCUGGCAAAUUAAGCUUAGAUCAAGCAAUCUUAGAUCAAGUUUUGCUUGCUUAGUUGCAAAUCUGUAAAUAUUCGUUUUACUUUAUCGUAGGCUUGUCUUAUUGAAAUAAAUGUCCAUCGGUUCUAUUGUUGAAAUAUUUAUUCAAGCAAUUGACAUUAAUAC